rnacentral:misc_RNA from 1 species
UCUCCGUUGGUGAACCAGCGGAGGGAUCAUUAAAGAGUUUUCACACUCAGACCCGACGCGUACCUGAAACUGUUGCUUCGGCGGGCCGCUGGCUCUUGCCGCGCCCGCCGAAGGUUUACAUUAGGCUCUUAGCUGGGGUGCCAUUCCCCAUACUGUCCUCUGAAUCGCUUCCAAACUAGUCAAAACUUUCAACAACGGAUCUCUUGGUUCUG